rnacentral:misc_RNA from 1 species
GGAAAGACGAACAAUAGAAUAUCUUCAGGAGAGCAUCAGUGUCGUCAAUUCUCAUUGGAUGAGAUGGAAAGAUCAACCAACAAUUUUGAUCCUCAGCUUAUCAUUGGUAGCGGUGGAUAUGGCCCAGUAUAUAAAGGAGAAAUUGAUGGUGGAGAAACCACUGUAGCAGUUAAGCGAUUGAAACGAGGAUCUAGCCAGGGGGAGAGAGAGUUUUGGAUGGAAAUCAAUAUGUUAUCUACGCACCGCCAUGACAACCUUCUCUCCCUUAUUGGUUACUGCAUUGAAGGUCAUGAGAUGUUAUUAGUUUAUGAUUAUAUGCCUCGAGGAUCACUUGCUGACAACCUGUACAAAAUGGACAGAAAUUGCUCAUCUCUCUCUUGGGAACGGAGACUUAAGAUUGCUAUGGGUGCUGCACGUGGACUGGAUUUCCUUCAUACAUCUCAAAACAGGGUGAUACAUCGUGAUAUGAAAACCUCAAACAUUUUGUUGGAUGAAAACUGGGAAAGUAAGAUUUCAGAUUUUGGGUUGUCCAAAAUGGGGCCUGGAAAUGAAUCAGCUACUCAUGUUAGUACACAAGUCAAAGGCACAUUUGGUUACCUCGAUCCUGAGUACUUCCAAACUAAUAGAUUGACAUGGAAAACUGAUGUGUAUGCUUUUGGAGUAGUACUAUUUGAAUUGCUCUCAGGAAGACCUGCAGUCGAUAUGAGCCUGCCUGAGGAGCAACAUGGACUUGUAGCAUGGGCCAAGCAAUGCAUCAGGGAAGGAGAAGUUAAUAAGCUUAUUGACCUGAAUCUGGCAGGGCCUAUCUCAUCAACUUGUUUGAAGGUGUUUGUAGGAACUGCAGGAAAAUGCUUGGAUGAUAAUCCACGUG